rnacentral:tRNA from 1 species
GUGGCAGUAGCUCAGUGGUAGAGCCUCCGCUUUAUAUGUGGAAAAACCUGCGUUCGAUUUUCCGGCUGCUUUC